GUUUUUGUUAACGUAAUUUAAAUUAUUAUUUUUUUUUGUAUGGAUAAAUGUUGUUUAUUCUCUCUUCUAUCGUACUUUUGAUGAUGAGGUAUCACUCCGCCAGAAAAGUAGAGACCUGUGUAUGUGUUUCAUGUUUCCAACAAAGGUAUGUGGAUUUGUGUACUAUUAUUAUUUUUUUGUGAUAAAACGUUUUUGUUAUUGUAAUUUAAAUUAUUAUUUUUAUAUGAAUGACUGUUAUUUGCUUCCUCGUCUAUCGGACUUUUGAUGAUGAGGUAUCACUCCGCCAGAAAAGUAGAGACCUGUGUAUGUGUUUCAUGUUUCCAACAAAGGUAUGUGGAUUUGUGUAUUAUUAUUAUUUUUUUGUGAUAAAACGUUUUUGUUAACGUAAUUUAAAUCAUUAUUUUUUUUGUAUGAAUGAAUGUUGUUUAUUCUCUCUUCUAUCGGACUUUUGAUGAUGAGGUAUCACUCCGCCAGAAAAGUAGAGAUCUGUGUAUGUGUUUCAUGUUUCCAACAAAGGUAUGUGGAUUUGUGUAUUACUAUUAUUUUUUUGUGAUAAAACGUUUUUGUUAUUGUAAUUUAAAUUAUUAUUUUUAUAUGAAUGACUGUUAUUUGCUUCCUCGUCUAUCGGACUUUUGAUGAUGAGGUAUCACUCCGCCAGAAAAGUAGAGACCUGUGUAUGUGUUUCAUGUUUCCAACAAAGGUAUGUGGAUUUGUGUAUUAUUAUUAUUUUUUUGUGAUAAAACGUUUUUGUUGUUGUAAUUUAAAUUAUUAUUUUUAUAUGAAUGACUGUUAUUUACUUCCUCGUCUAUCGGACUUUUGAUGAUGAGGUAUCACUCCGCCAGAAAAGUAGAGACCUGUGUAUGUGUUUCAUGUUUCCAACAAAGGUAUGUGGAUUUGUGUAUUAUUAUUAUUUUUUUGUGAUAAAACGUUUUUGUUGUUGUAAUUUAAAUUAUUAUUUUUAUAUGAAUGACUGUUAUUUACUUCCUCGUCUAUCGGACUUUUGAUGAUGAGGUAUCACUCCGCCAGAAAAGUAGAGACCUGUGUAUGUGUUUCAUGUUUCCAACAAAGGUAUGUGGAUUUGUGUAUUAUUAUUAUUUUUUUGUGAUAAAACGUUUUUGUUAACGUAAUUUAAAUCAUUAUUUUUUUUGUAUGAAUGAAUGUUGUUUAUUCUCUCUUCUAUUGGACUUUUGAUGAUGAGGUAUCACUCCGCCAGAAAAGUAGAGACCUGUGUAUGUUUUUCAUGUUUCCAACAAAGGUAUGUGGAUUUGUGUAUUAUUAUUAUUUUUGUUUGUGAUAAAACGUUUUUGUUGUUGUAAUUUAAAUUAUUAUUUUUAUAUGAAUGACUGUUAUUUACUUCCUCGUCUAUCGGACUUUUGAUGAUGAGGUAUCACUCCGCCAGAAAAGUAGAGACCUGUGUAUGUGUUUCAUGUUUCCAACAAAGGUAUGUGGAUUUGUGAAUUAUUAUUAUUUUUUGUGAUAAAACGUUUUUGUUAACGUAAUUUAAUUUUUUUUUUUUUUUGUAUGAAUGAAUGUUGUUUAUUCUCUCUUCUAUCGGACUUUUGAUGAUGAGGUAUCACUCCGCCAGAAAAGUAGAGACCUGUGUAUGUGUUUCAUGUUUCCAACAAAGGUAUGUGGAUUUGUGUAUUAUUAUUGUAUUUUUGUGAUAAAACGUUUUUGUUAUUUUAAUUUAAAUUAUUAUUUUUAUAUGAAUGACUGUUAUUUACUUCCUCGUCUAUCGGACUUUUGAUGAUGAGGUAUCACUCCGCCAGAAAAGUAGAGACCUGUGUAUGUGUUUCAUGUUUCCAACAAAGCCCGCUAACAGCCAAGGACUUCUAGGACGUCAACGAAGAUAAGAUGACAGCACGCAGACAAAGCAGAGACUUCAAUGACCUCAAUGAAGAUAAGAUGACAACACGCAGAUGAAGCGGGGACAAGGCGAAAUCACAAGCUGACGUUACCGAGGAGGAGCGUCUGAGGACGGCGAGACACAACGAUGCGGGUCAGCAGAGCCGAGAGGAGCAGGUGUCACAGAAGAGGCGUUUAAUAGGAUCUCCUAAAACCUCUUAGACUCCUUCCAUGACUCCGGCGCUCAUGGCCCACUUUUCACCAGCACAUUGCGACCUGGUUCCUUUGCUCCGACCACCUCUACGUGCAAAAAAAUCUUAUU